ensembl:snRNA U2 U2 spliceosomal RNA
AUCGCUUCUAGGCCUUUUGGCUGAGAUCAAGUGUAGUACCUAUUCUUAUCAGUUUAAUACCUGAUACGUCUUCUAUCCCAGGACAAUAUAUUAAAUGGAUUUUUGGAGCUGGGAGAUGGAAUAGGAGCUUGCUCCGUCCACUCCAUGCAUCGACCUGGUAUUGCAGUACUUCCAGGAACGGUGCACCCCCC